rnacentral:rRNA from 1 species
AGAUUGAACGCUGGCGGCAUGCCUUACACAUGCAAGUCGAACGGCAGCACGGGAGCAAUCCUGGUGGCGAGUGGCGAACGGGUGAGUAAUACAUCGGAACGUGCCCAAUCGUGGGGGAUAACGCAGCGAAAGCUGUGCUAAUACCGCAUAAGAUCUACGGAUGAAAGCAGGGGAUCGACAAGACCUUGCGCGAAUGGAGCGGCCGAUGGCAGAUUAGGUAGUUGGUGAGGUAAAGGCUCACCAAGCCUUCGAUCUGUAGCUGGUCUGAGAGGACGACCAGCCACACGUGGGACUGAGACACGGCCCAGACUCCGUACGGGAGCAGCAGGUGGGGUAAUUUGGACAAGUGGGACGAAAGCCGUGAUCCAGCCAGUCGCCGCGU